CCUACGGGUGGCAGCAGUGGGGAAUAUUGCACAAUGGGGGAAACCCUGAUGCAGCAACGCCGCGUGAGUGAUGACGGCCUUCGGGUUGUUAAGCUCUGUCUUCAGGGACGAUAAUGACGGUACCUGUGGAGGAAGCCACGGCUAACUACGUGCCAGCAGCCGCGGUAAUACGUAGGCGGCGAGCGUUGUCCGGAUUUACUGGGCGUAAAGCGCUCGUAGGCGGUAUGUCAAGUCAAGGGUGAAAUCCCCGCGCUCAACGUGGGAACUGCCUUUGAAACUGGCAAACUGGAGUGUGUGAGAGGAUAGUGGAAUUCCAGGUGUAGGAGUGAAAUCCGUAGAUAUCUGGAAGAACAUCAGUGGCGAAGGCGACUAUCUGGCACAUAACUGACGCUGAGGAGCGAAAGCGUGGGUAGCAAACAGGAUUAGAUACCCUUGUAGUC
rnacentral:rRNA from 1 species